rnacentral:rRNA from 1 species
UACAGAGGAGCCAAGCGUUGUCCGGAUUGACUGGGCGUAAAGCGCACGCAGGCGGACGCGCGCGUGGGGUGUGAAAUCUGGCCGCUUAACGGCCAGGCGCCAUCCCAUACGGCGCGUCUGGAGUGAUGCAGAGGUCGAUGGAAUUGCCGGUGUAGUGGUGAAAUGCGUAGAGAUCGGCAGGAACACCCAGGGGGAAACCAGUCGACUGGGCAUCUACUGACGCUGAGGUGCGAGAGCGUGGGGAGCGAGCCGG